ACCAAGCCUAGCCCGACGGGGCGAAAGCCGGUCUCCUUGCCGGUUGGCUUGGUUCCUAUCAGGG
rnacentral:sRNA from 1 species